ACCGGGUUACCGGCGCCCGCCGCGGCCUGCUCAGGCUGCAGCACAGGCGCACACACCAGCUCCGCCACCGGCGGACGGAGGCUGCCUCCCCCCGGCCCUGUGCGGGCACCGUGAACGAAAUCCACCAGCACAGCCCUUCGAAAUAUAGUGCCAUCUACUCCUGGAAAUGAAAUGGCACCGUCUAAAACAUCAAAUUUCUAUGUGAAAGGCUAUUCUUUUUAGCUGAAAAGAGGAAGAGGAACGACAGAGCUGGAAAAUCCACUUCCCCUCCAAAGCUCAAUAAUGAUCAUCAGUGACAGCUAAGACUACAAGGAACAGAUCACUGUGGCAACUUAGACCUGAUGGAUCAGAAUGCAAUGCUUUAACACAGUGGACAAUUGUAGCAUCACCAAAGGGAAAAAGCACCCAGACAUGGCAAAUCUCAGCAAGAAGGAUGUAAUAGGACCUAGCAAGGAUUCUUGCCCAAAAUAGUUGGGAUUUAAUCAAGCUUCCAGCAAUAAGUUUUAAGGAUACACAUGGGAGAGAGGAAUUUUCAAGCAAUGUCAAUAAAUCAGUCUGGGGCUGGGGAUUUAGCUCAGCGGCAUAAGCGCCUGCCUUGCAAGCAGGCAGUCGUCGUGAGUUUGAUCCCUGGUACUGAUAAAAAGGAAAAAGACAAAAUAAAUAAAUAAAUAAAUAAAUAAAUAAAUAAAUAAAUCAGUCACAGCUAUAAUGUGAGAAAUUCCCAGGAAAAAAGUGACCCCUUUUCAAAAGAGCAAACAAGUGAAGCAGUUUAGAGAUUUAAUCAUUAAUAAAUUAAAAGAGAAUUAAGAAAUGUGAAGAAAAAGGAAAGUAAUGUUGGGUCCUGUGUUUGGAUCCCAGUUCUGAUAAAACAACUGUAAGACAUUGGAGACAAUGGAGAAAAAUGAACUUACACUGGGUGUUGAUGCUACUCAGGAAUAUGGUGCAUUUUGUUGGAUAUGAUUAUAGUUGUGCUGUUUACAAGUUAUUAAGUAACAGAAAUCCAUGCACCCCAAUAACCAAAUCUAGGCUUUUCGACUAAACGUGGACUGAUACUCUCAUUCUGCUUUGGCACUCCUUGGGUGAUGAGAACACCUGCCCACGCGAUGGGAAGGGAAGGGAUUUGAACACCUCCUUUUCCUUCACUGCCCUGAAGACCUUCUCUCUUUACUCCUCUCUGUCACACCCCUUUGACGCCUCGCCUCUGCCUACCUCUCUCCAUCUCAGGUCAUGCUCGCACCUCAUCGGGCCCCCACAUCACAGUGACCUUCUCUGACUCCUGCACACAGUGGCCAACGUGACCCUUUAAACCUUGGCUAUGUGGGUUAGAAAAGCACUGGUCACUGUAAGAUACUCUCAAAUUCUCAAAUAGAGCCCAUGGGAUUCUAUCUGUGUCUCCCGGCACUAUCUGAGGUUCUUUUUGGGUGGAGACUUCCUUCCAUGAGGUCAGGAGGCUGGAUGCCUUUAUUUUAUGACUCUCUCUUUCUUCCGGAUCUUAUAAUCCUUUGAAUCCUGUGGUGGAAGGGGCAGAUAGAGCCAAGAAAAAACACCUGGUUCAGCAGAGAUCAGCACACAAGUAUCUGCCCACCUUUCAGGGAUAGUAGUUAGUCAUGUGAUCAGCAUGGCAAGCAAGGCAGACUGGGUAAUGUAGUUUUGCUUAGCUGGGCCGUUGUCCUCCCAGAACAAUGCUACAUAUGCAGCUUCACUUGUGGAAGAGGUAACAUUGGCAGUAUUACAGAGGGAUUAGAACAUUCCUGGUACAGCAGUAAUAAGUGCGGUGGGGGUGCAGAACCACUAGAGGGGAAAACUGCCGGAACAUUAGCAAGAAGCCAGGGAGGAUGAAAUGAAUCGUUGUAGUCGCCAUUUUAUUUGUCACCAUCAUACCCUACAUUGUGGAUUAGCAUGUGUGCACGUGAACAUGCACGUUCACGCAUGCAUCUGUGUGUGUGUUCACAUGGCUUGUCCUUGAUUAUGAAGUUUCAACUUAUAAUAUUUUAAAUUUAUAUAGUAUGAAAGUGACACAUUUGGUAGAAGCAAUGGGUUUAGAUUUUGAUCUUUUCUCAGACUAUCUAUAUGUAUAUAGCAGCCUAUAGCAAUCUGAGGAUUUGGAAGUAACCCCAGACUCAAAUUACUGGCAACAGAAAGAAUGCCCUCAGACCUGGGGCAUAAGAUCUCCAUAAGGCGAGUUUCCCUCCUGUAGGAAGCAUGAGGUGGCGAGUGCACAGAACAAAGGGUGUUGUCCCAUUUUUCCCUAAUGCUGAGGAAGCAGCUAUGUCUUAAAUUGUUGGCUGAAUUCAAAGGGUUGCAGUCCAUCCUGGCUGGCUAAUUUAAGGAGCAGGAAGGAUUGCUGGGCAGGCUUGCUGAGGGAGGGGAGAACGGGGGUGUGAGGCACCGAAAGCCCUUGGUUGCUGUUAAGUUAUGUUUGGCUGUUAGCUGUGCUCCUGGAAUCUAAACUGAACAAGCAGUUUUGUAAGUCAGUGCUCAAAACAAAGAAGGAUGGGGUGGGCACCUGAAUGAAUGAGAGUUUAUGAUGGAGACACUUUUGUUCAUAUUUGAUAGAAAAGACCUUGUUUCUUACAAGGAAAACCACUAGUACUUCACAGUGUGCUGUGUAGUUAAGCUAGGAUGUUGAGCAGGUUAGAUGUAUUCAAUGCAUUUUUGACAUAUUCAAUUAAUAAUGGCUUAAUCAGCAUAUAACCCCAUUUUAAGUCUCUCUCUCUCUCUCUCUCUCUCUCUCUCUCUCUCUCUCUCACACACACACACACACACACACACACACACACACAGUCAUGUUCCACCUAGGAAUAUCCUUAGGGAAGCUGUGAAAUUUUUUAGUUUUACUCAGUGUCAACUCUUGCAUGCAUAACUUUUUAGAUAUCACACCUGAAAACUUGGAAGAAGGGAUAAAGAAUUUUUGUUUUACAGUCAAGGAAAGUAGUUUAUUGAGGAAAAACACUUAAGUUUUGAGUUCAGGUAUCCACUUACUUUGUGGCCGACCAUUUAAUUUGAAAACAUGACUGAUAAAUAAUUCACACUUGAGAAUUUGGCAUUUUCCUCACAAUGGAUAAAGUUAGCCUGUCACUUCAAGGAACAAAAGUGGCGGCAUUUAUUUCCACUGACAAAAAAUUUGGUCUGGCAAGUGAACAUUUGAUCCUGCAAGAAUUUAUCACCAUGAAUUUGACAAUUUCCCAAUAAUUAAACACUCUUCUGAUAAGAGAUGUGGGGAACUUAAAGGUUUCCUUGUUUUUUAAUUUUUAUUGAUUGAUUGAUUGAUUGAUUUUUUUUGUUCCAUGAGUUGAACUCAGGAUCUUCUGCUUGCCAGGCAAGCACUUAUGCUGCUGAGCUGUAUCCCCAGCCCCUCUUUAGACUUUUGAAGAUGACCUAUGGCCACAUUUGGAGCUGUGCGUGAUCUCAUGAGAUGCAGGUGACUCUGUGAGCCACUCUUUCCAAAUGGCCACUGUACAGUGGCACGGUCAUGCACAAGGAAAGAUUCAUGCAAGACAGAACAAUGAAUUUCAUAUGAAGGAGCAGAAGACAACUCAAUGGUGUGGUUUCAAGUUCCAGGGUCAUUUCAACCUGAAACCUGAAACCACUUGUCAACUUUGAGUGUAAGUAAUAUCAAAGAAUAUGCACAGUUACAUAAAAGGGGCUAUUUCAAUUACUCCUUUUUCCAACUUUUUCAAUUUGUGAGACAGGUUUGCUUCACGUACUUCAAUCAAUAUAUGAGGUGUAAUUGAAAUAUAUGGCAAAUGUUUAAAUAAAAAAUAUUGUUACAAUAAAAGACGCAUUACCAUGAAUCUCCCUCAGAAUAUUCUGCCUUGUUUCAACGUACUUACCCCAUUAUUCUUGCCACUUUCUGAAGUUCAAAAGUCUUCUUUUAUGAGUGUUUUGCAAGGUGUGAUUAGAAAAAAUGCAGUGAAUCCUGCUGAGUACCACUCAAAGGAAAUCAGGCUCGUACAAAUACUACUGCGUGUCUUCUCCUCCUUAUUCUCAGGGUCUGGCGCCACAGGUUUUCUAGUUCUUUCUCCAAGUCCAGACAACAAGGAAAAGCGAAUGUUUUGAGUUGAUUCAGGACAUCAAGGGAGCCAGGAUAGCACAACUAAAGCCAUGAAAAAGGACUUCCAGAGCUGCUUUAGAGACUGUUAAGAGUGAUGAGCUAAGUGUAUUCAAAGCCAAGAAAGUAUUUUGAGGCAGCCUGAUGGCAGUGUGUCUUUUACCGUAACAAACUGCAAACAUUUACCAUUUUUCGUUGGUGCCUCAUAUCUCAAAGGAUUAAAUAAAAAACAGAAAUAAGAAUCCAAUUGUCUUCUACUAAUCCAGAUAGUAAAGGUAUUCGCACACACACACAAAAGAACAGUGCCACUUUUCCACUAAAUUGUUUUGAAAAAAUAGUAAUAGAUAAUUCACUUAAAAAGUUAAUUGAAGUAAGUAUAUGACUUUUAACAAUUUCAAUUUCUAAUUCAGUAAAUGUGGAUUAAAAAGGCAGGAAUAUUGCUCAACGGCACAAGCACCUGUCUGGCAAGCACAAGGUCCUGAGUUUGAUACCUGGUACAAAAACUAAAAGGGUAAAUUUAUCUCAUAUAAACAAUACUAACAAUUAAAACUAAAUUAGUAAAUAUGGAUUAUACUUCUAAGUAAUGUAACAAAGUAAUGGUUAUAGUAUAGAAUAAUAAAUAUAAAAAUAAUGGAUAAAAUAGUAAAUAACAAAAAUGUUAAGAAAUGCAACCAAAAGUCUAAGAACUCUCAGAGGAACGCCUUCUGACAUGUUCCAGAUGGCCCUCUGCUUAGUUGUGACAAUUGCUGAAUGGCGUCAUCAGUGGCUCGUGUUACAGUAACUGACGAGAAUGAACUAUUCAGGGACAAGAUCCAGCUCACAGAUCAAGAGCUCUUUGCACAAGAACAGCCUAUUCCCUCUUUCCGCCCCAUUGAGUAGGGUGUUUUCCCGAGUAAACAGCCAUAUCUCCAUGCCCAUGCAGUCAGAGGUGGGAAUACGCGUCAUAAUGAUCGCUGACACUAAUCUGGUGCCCGCAGUGAGGUAGACCCUUUGUACCAGUAGGGUGCUUAUUAUGCUCUCUGGCAAAGACUUCCUCUGUGCUGGGCCUUAUGCUGGCACUGAAAAGAUAGAGAUAAAUGAAAGCGUGGGUCCAGCUGCUACCUGUCUUUUGAGAGGCAGAGCGAUGGUAGCUAGGUUCAUAGAGGUGGCUACUGGCGAACUGAGUUCAGAUCCCUGUUCUACGGUGUGCUUUUCUGUAAACCUAUGCAAGCUGUUUAAUGUCUCCAAGCUUUACUACUUGUCUCAUCUGUAAAAAUGGGAUGGUGAUGUCUAUUUUGUUAGUUCCUUGUGAGCAUUAAGCACAUUAACAAAGAUAACCAAAGUCCUUAGGGUAACUCGGAAAUCCAAAAUCCAAGCAUGAUGUGUUUGGUUUUGAUCAAUAAUGUUUCCCACUUUUUUUCUAUGUGGAGACUUCCUACCACCCCUGCAGCUGCAGAUGCCCUUGGUUCUUUUCUUUGGCUUCCCUUGCCCCUGACAAGACGAUGAGAAAUACUGUAAGAUGAAAAUGUUCUUUCUUGCCUUUAGACGGUUUUGUGAAGACAUGGUGCUGGGAUGGGAAACAAACAUCUUAUAACCACAACAAAAGCCAAGAGAAUCUGGGAGGACAUUGUCAGUCUGCUGAACUAACUGAACCCAGGUCUACCUGACUCAAGUUUUAUGCAGCAGCUAAAACCCAGAAGCUGAAUUAUUUACGUAUGGAUGGACAGCUUGAAAGAAGUGGAUGAUAUUCCAUCUCAGGCCUCCAAACCAGAUACAUACAGGAUACGCACUUCAAUUUGACUUAAGCAUUUGAACUUCUUUUUAUUGGCUAAUCUGACAGCCCUGUAGAUUAGGAAACCUUGUUACCCUGCAGAGCUGCCCUGAAUUCCCCCAGAAUGCCAGCCGCCUUCAUCACAGAGGCAAAAGCAGAGCAUUUGGCCAAGGCUUUAGCCUGGGAAUAAAUAGGGUGGGUCAUGAACACCUGUCUGCAGCCUAGAGAGCACAGGGCUACGGCAGCUGCAAUGGGACAAGUUUAUUAACCUCUUGGACUCUUAUUUGCCAUCCUGGAAACUGACAAUAAUAUGAGUACUGACUUAAGAGAACUGUUAGACCAUACAUAUCCGUGCAGUGCUUGAUACUAAGUGCUCCAUAAAAGCCUUGGGGCUCAGCUAAGCCUUCCUUUUCCUCUUCAUAAUGCUACUAGGUAUUAUUACUAUUUGCAUCAACAUCAGCGUCAUGCAUUUAGCAGUCCUAAUCUGAAAAUCCAACACCUAAAAUGCUUCAAAACUUUCUGAGCACCAGCAUGACACUGCAUCACAAAUUCAGCAUAACAGAACUUGCUUCAUAUACAAAGUUACUAGAUAUAUUGUAUAACAUUAUUUUAAGGUUGUGUAUAAGAUGUAUAUGAAACUUGAAUUUUGUGCUUGGAAUAGGGUCCCAUCCUCAGGACAUAUAUAUAUGCAGCUUUCCC